rnacentral:rRNA from 1 species
GGAAUAUUGGACAAUGGGGGGAACCCUGAUCCAGCCAUGCCGCGUGUGUGAAGAAGGCCUUUAGGUUGUAAAGCACUUUAAGCGAGGAGGAGGCUACUCUAGUUAAUACUUAGGGAUAGUGGACGUUACUCGCAGAAUCAGCACCGGCUAACUCUGUGCCAGCCGCCGCGGUCAUACACAGGGUGCAAGCGUUAAUCGGAUUUACUGGGCGUAAAGCGCGCGUAGGUGGCGAAUUAAGUCAAAUGUGAAAUCCCCGAGCUUAACUUGGGAAUUGCAUUCGAUACUGGUUGGCUAGAGUAUGGGAGAGGAUGGUAGAAUUCCAGGUGUAGCGGUGAAAUGCGUAGAGAUCUGGAGGAAUACCGAUGGCGAAGGCAGCCAUCUGGCCUAAUACUGACACUGAGGUGCGAAAGCAUGGGGAGCAAACA